CCGCAGCUAAUUAAGCCGGCCGUGACCCCCCCGCCGUGGGGCCCCGGCGUGCACUGGCUGCGCACAGAACCCCCCCCAGCUGUGUAGGGCGACCCGCACCCCCCCAUGUGGGGCGCCCCAAGGGGCCGGGGGAACAUCA
rnacentral:snoRNA from 1 species